GAAAUGCGAUAAGUAAUGUGAAUUGCAGAAUUCAGUGAAUCAUCGAAUCUUUGAACGCACCUUGCGCUCCUUGGUAUUCCGAGGAGCAUGCCUGUUUGAGUGUCAUUAAAUUCUCAACCCCUCCAUUGUGAUGGGGCUUGGAUAUGGGGGCUUGCGGGUCUUUAUCAAUAAAGGUCAGCUCUCCUGAAAUACAUUAGCGGAACCGUUUGCAGUCCCGUCACUAGUGUGAUAAUUAUCUACACUGUGAUGAUUGCUCUCUGAGUAGUUCAGCUGCUAAUUGUCCGAUUGGGGACAAGGUUUAAUGAAGUUCUUGACCUCAAAUCAGGUAGGACUACCCGCUGAACUUAA
rnacentral:rRNA from 1 species